rnacentral:ribozyme from 1 species
CACAACAGAGGCCCAGUAAUGGGAUGGUAUCCGAAGCCUCCUCAAGAUUCCAUCCAACUCCUAUUCCGAUACGUCCACGUCGUGGAGGGUGGUAACAUGGUCCUAAGUUCAUCCUAUCGAGUGGAUGACGGCUCUUGGUUAAGGAGGAAGGG